CUCUCUCUUGUCAAAUGAACAAUGUUAUUUUGGGUUUGAACGCUUGAUCCAACUACUCUUAUGAGCAGUGUUAUAUUAGUUCAUGAUAAUUAUAAUAGAUUAUAAUUUUAUUAAUUGGAUUGCACAUUAUUUAGUGAAUUGAAGGAUACUCGGAGAUUUGAGCUGUUGGGUUUUUUUUGUUUAAAAGACUCGGAUUGAACUUCUGAAAUUAGUUGGGUGAAGAAUUUGACAAAAUAUGUUCUUUUCUCUCUUAAUUUUCGAACUUUGGAUUUGAUUGAGGAUCAUCAUAAGGGAGGGAGGGGUGAAUUACCAUUUUAUAAUCGAUGAUAUAUAAAUAAUAAAUUGAGUUCCCUAAUUUUUCUGUUAUAGGUGAGGAAAGCACCGAGCCUGCAGCAGCAUGCACCAGCUCAACUGAAGGUCGAAGGUUGCAUUCUCAUGGCAAAAGGCAAAAGUGAAGGACUCUAAGCUUCCAGAAUGUCAAAUUUGUAAAACUUUCGUGCAGGUUUGCGUUGGAUAUAGGAUAGUCAUGGAUCGGUUUGAAGCUCGGCUAAUGAUAGUUUCAGAUCUUGAUCAUACAAUGUUGUGGACAGGCACAGUUGAGGGAGGUGACAUUGCAGGAAGAGAAUGCUGUAUAUGAAAGGGCAGUAUCGUGGGAAAAUAAAAUACAGGAGAAAAUUCAAGAAGCAGAUUUGCGGAAGAGGAAGCUAAUGAUGAGACUUGAGUAUGUCGUAUUUUUGUUAAUGGAGACCAACAAUCUUUCUGAAAAUUUAUGAUUUUUGUUAUCAGGAGAUGGAAGAGAAUGAAAGGAAUUUGAGAUAUGAACUCGAAAAUGCACAAACCGCAUUGGAUGCCAGUUGAUCUGGUCAAUCAGAUGAAUCCAUUGGUGACCCGAAGACAACAGUUGAAACCGAAAAUGACGUAGAAGCUUUAAAGAAGGCUAUGCUUGAAAAAUUAGAGGAGAGGAAAAAAUAAGUGGUGCUCCCAUGGCUUCAUCGGAGAAGCCUGUGCCUGCUGCUGGUCUGCUUGCUGUCGUUUCUCACACUGUUAAUUGUUUUUUUAUUUUUGUUGAUUUGAUUAACGGUAGAAGCUAUCUUUAUUUCUAUUAGUAUCUUGAUUUGCAUAACAGUUCAAGCAUAUCUUUUCUGUGUUUAUUGUUUCCUUGGUGUUUAAUUUUAUUUGAAUUUCUUAACUUGUUCAAAGGAUGCUUUGGUUAGUAGCCAUUUUUAUUUACUGGUUU